UGCCCUGGCAAUGGGUGAAGAGACUCCUUAUUUGGUGCUGUUGUUCUUAUGUCAGUCAGGGGCAGAGCAGUUGGUAGGCUUUUGGUCAUCCUAGCUUGAUGCCUGGAUUAGUGACCAAAGCUGUUUUAUGCCUAGGAUACUUAG